UACAGAGGGUGCAAGCGUUAAUCGGAAUUACUGGGCGUAAAGCGUGCGUAGACGGUUACAUAAGUCGGGUGUGAAAGCCCCGGGCUCGACCUGGGAAUUGCAUUCGAGACUGCGUAGCUAGGGUGCGGAAGAGGGAAGCGGAAUUUCCGGUGUAGCGGUGAAAUGCGUAGAUAUCGGAAGGAACACCAGUGGCGAAAGCGGCUUCCUGGUCCAGCACCGACGUUCAGGCACGAAAGCGUGGGGAGCAAACAGG
rnacentral:rRNA from 1 species